rfam:Oryza nivara chromosome 2, whole genome shotgun sequence.
AAAAAUAUAAACCAUGGGUUUCCGUGUCUAACUUUGACUGUCCGUCUUAUAUGAAAUUUUUUUAUAAUUUAUAUUUUCAUUGUUAUUAGAUGAUAAAACAUGAUUAAUAUUUUAUGCGUGACUUGUAUUUUUAAUUUUUUUCAUAUUUUUUUUCAAAUAAGACGGACGGUCAAAUGUUGGACACGAAAACCAAGAUUUGUCUUUUUU